AAAAAUUGAACCUCACUGUGAGGAGAUAUUUACAUUGGCUUCACCCUCACAGAAGACCUAUCUGAACACUUGCUUUAUUUUUUAUGAGCUGACUACAAAGACAAGACCCUCAGGAACACCCAGAGACUUCUAUCACUUUAGAAACUUAAAUUGAAUCUCACUGCAGGUGAAAACAGAGGAGGCAAAAGAUCAGAAUACAUGGAUUACUGUGAUCCAGCCGUGCAAAAAAUGGAGCAUAAACCUGGCAUAGAACAAUGGCAUUUUCAGAGCAAUUACAGCAUUGAUAUGGUUAUACCUCAAGAUAUUAGUGCAGUCAUACUAGAUCACGGUGUAUCAGUCUGUUCACCAUCUUGCAAGCAUCAGAGGAUUACCCUGAGUGAUGUACUCUACUUCAGGCUACCUAUGGAGGGGUCAAUACUUUUUAAUUAUAAAGGACAAUGUGACCAAUUGCCAUCAAAUCCUUUAUGCCGAUAAGGAAUGCUGCUUUGGAGAUUCAUGUCCAAGAAAUCAAAAGGCCCUAGAACAGUGUGUUUGAUUUUAUGUUUUCAAGAAAUCCUCACAGUUUUCAAGGAGCAUUUACCUUUUACCAUGUUCUCCCUCAAGUUUACUGGAAAAAAAAAAUAUUGCAAUAUUAA